AUUGAACGCUGGCGGCAGGCCUAACACAUGCAAGUCGAGCGGAUGAAGGGAGCUUGCUCCUGGAUUCAGCGGCGGACGGGUGAGUAAUGCCUAGGAAUCUGCCUGGUAGUGGGGGAUAACGUCCGGAAACGGGCGCUAAUACCGCAUACGUCCUGAGGGAGAAAGUGGGGGAUCUUCGGACCUCACGCCAUCAGAUGAGCCUAGGUCGGAUUAGCUAGUUGGUGGGGUAAAGGCCUACCAAGGCGACGAUCCGUAACUGGUCUGAGAGGAUGAUCAGUCACACUGGAACUGAGACACGGUCCAGACUCCUACGGGAGGCAGCAGUGGGGAAUAUUGGACAAUGGGCGAAAGCCUGAUCCAGCCAUGCCGCGUGUGUGAAGAAGGUCUUCGGAUUGUAAAGCACUUUAGGUUGGGAGGAAGGGCAGUAAGUUAAUACCUCGCUGUUUUGACGUUACCAACAGAAUAAGCGCCGGCUAACUUCGUG
rnacentral:rRNA from 1 species